UACAGAGGGUGCAAGCGUUGUCCGGAAUUAUUGGGCGUAAAGAGCUCGUAGGCGGCUUGUCGCGUCGGCUGUGAAAACCUGGAGGCUCAACCGUCCGGCCUGCAGCCGAUACGGGCAAGCUAGAAUUCGGUAGGGGAGACUGGAAUUCCUGGUGUAGCGGUGAAAUGCGUUGAUAUCAGGAGGAACACCCAUGGCGAAGGCAGCAAACUGGCCGGCAUCUGACGCUGAGGCGCGAAAGCGUGGGUAGCAAACAGG
rnacentral:rRNA from 1 species